UAAAGUCUGGCCUGCCCAUUGGAGAACUAAAAGGCCGCGGUAUUAUGACCGUGCAAAGGUAGCAUAAUCAUUAGUUUUUUAAUUGAAGGCUAGAAUGAAUGGUUGGACAAGAAAUAAUCUGUCUUAAAUUAAGAUAUUGAAUUUAACUUUAAAGUGAAAAGGCUUUAAUGAUCUAUUG
rnacentral:rRNA from 1 species